UACGAAAGGGGCGAGCGUUGUUCGGAAUUACUGGGCGUAAAGGGCGCGCAGGCGGCUCUGAAAGUCAGAUGUGAAAGCCCCGGGCUUAACCUGGGAAUUGCAUUUGAUACUCUGGAGCUUGAGUACGGGAGAGGAGAGUGGAAUUCCCAGUGUAGAGGUGAAAUUCGUAGAUAUUGGGAAGAACACCGGUGGCGAAGGCGGCUCUCUGGACCGUAACUGACGCUGAGGCGCGAAAGCGUGGGGAGCAAACAGG
rnacentral:rRNA from 1 species